rnacentral:rRNA from 2 species
GGGUUGUGAGGUUAAGCGACUAAGCGUACACGGUGGAUGCCCUGGCAGUCAGAGGCGAUGAAGGGCGUGCUAAUCUGCGAUAAGCGCCGGUAAGGUGAUAUGAACCGUUAUAACCGGCGAUACCCGAAUGGGGAAACCCAGUGUGACUCGUCACACUAUCAUUAACUGAAUCCAUAGGUUAAUGAGGCGAACCGGGGGAACUGAAACAUCUAAGUACCCCGAGGAAAAGAAAUCAACCGAGAUUCCCCCAGUAGCGGCGAGCGAACGGGGAGGAGCCCAGAGCCUGAAUCAGCAUGUGUGUUAGUGGAAGCGUCUGGAAAGGCGCGCGAUACAGGGUGACAGCCCCGUACACAAAAGCGCAUGUGCUGUGAGCUCGAUGAGUAGGGCGGGACACGUGGUAUCCUGUCUGAAUAUGGGGGGACCAUCCUCCAAGGCUAAAUACUCCUGACUGACCGAUAGUGAACCAGUACCGUGAGGGAAAGGCGAAAAGAACCCCGGCGAGGGGAGUGAAAAAGAACCUGAAACCGUGUACGUACAAGCAGUGGGAGCCCCACCACCAAAGCAUUUGCUGUACCGCGUUGACGGAGCGAAGCGACGUCAAACCGAUAAAACAGCAGUGUAAAGUGAGCCGCAGGGCGCUUUGCGCGACAGCGCAAAGGCAGGCGGUUUCGCGUAGCGAAAGCGAAUGCUUUGGGGUGGGGUGACUGCGUACCUUUUGUAUAAUGGGUCAGCGACUUAUAUUCUGUAGCAAGGUUAACCGAAUAGGGGAGCCGGAGGGAAACCGAGUCUUAAUUGGGCGUUAAGUUGCAGGGUAUAGACCCGAAACCCGGUGAUCUAGCCAUGGGCAGGUUGAAGGUUGGGUAACACUAACUGGAGGACCGAACCGACUAAUGUUGAAAAAUUAGCGGAUGACCUGUGGCUGGGGGUGAAAGGCCAAUCAAACCGGGAGAUAGCUGGUUCUCCCCGAAAGCUAUUUAGGUAGCGCCUCGUGAAUUCAUCUCCGGGGGUAGAGCACUGUUUCGGCUAGGGGGCCAUCCCGGCUUACCAACCCGAUGCAAACUGCGAAUACCGGAGAAUGUUAUCACGGGAGACACACGGCGGGUGCUAACGUCCGUCGUGAAGAGGGAAACAACCCAGACCGCCAGCUAAGGUCCCAAAGUCAUGGUUAAGUGGGAAACGAUGUGGGAAGGCCCAGACAGCCAGGAUGUUGGCUUAGAAGCAGCCAUCAUUUAAAGAAAGCGUAAUAGCUCACUGGUCGAGUCGGCCUGCGCGGAAGAUGUAACGGGGCUAAACCAUG